AACCCUUCCCGUGUCAGGGGCAACCAAAGACAGGUGGUGCAUGGUUGUCGUCAGCUCGUGUCGUGAGAUGUUGGGUUAAGUCCCGCAACGAGCGCAACCCCUGAUUCCUUUAGUAGCCAGCAGUAAGAUGGGCACUCUANGGAGGACUGCCGGAGGAGCAANCCUGGAGGGAGAGGGCUGGGGACUAGAUCAGUCAAAAUCAUUCAUCUGCUCCCCUUAUUGAUUUUGGGCUACACACCGAUGCUUACUAAUGGCGGUAAACAAAAGGGAAGCGAGAGUGUGAGCUGGAGCAACACUCCCAAAAAUAACGUCCCACUUC
rnacentral:rRNA from 1 species